CUCCCUUGCACUUCUUAAGUGAAGCUGGAAAUCAUGAUGGCAUGUUGGAUAGAAUUUUAGAGAUUUGUCCUCAAUGUAUACAAUAUGUUCCAAUUGAGAAUCGCAAUGCUUUGCAUAUUGCUGUAGAAAACAACAGACUGGAUGUUCUCCAAGUCCUAAUUCGAACACUUUGGAAGACAGACUAUUAUCGGGAAGUGGUGAACCAAAUAGAUGAAGAUGGAAACACUGCACUGCAGUUAGCUGCUUUCCAUAAUCAACCCGAGAGCUUAAACUACUAUUAAACUGCAAAGCCGAUAAGCAUGCCAACAAUCAGGCUGGUUGGACGCUAAUGGAUGUAGCACAACAACAACAUAAUAGGGAAAGCAUUACUAUUCUGCGUGGUUGCUUUAUUCCAGAAGUUUCAAACUUUAAAUGUAAAUUGGAGAAACAAAUCGUCAAGCAUGUGGCAAAGGCAUCAUCACUAAUUUUUCACAAUUUGGAUAAUAUAUCAGGGUAGGACCGCAAUGCCUUACUAGUAAUUUUAGGAGUACUUCUAGCUGCAACUUACCAAGCCAGUCUAAGCCCCCCUGGUGGUGUUUGGUAAGGUGAAAAUACCUCAACGUCCAAAGGAUCAUAUGAUUCAACAGUACCAGGGAAAUCAGUCAUGGAUCAAUCUAGUUUUCUUCAUUUCUAUAUUCCAAUUUAUAUUGUCUUCAUAGUAACCUUUUUCCUAAUACUAGCCCUGCUUAAACCAUUUCCCCAUGGUUUCAGGACAGCACUUCAAGUACUACUUGCCUUUCUUGCAAUGUGCUUCGAUCAAUCAAUAUCUUUCAUAGACCCUACCUUUCUAACAUCGGGAAUUCUCUGUAAAUUUUCAACAACUAUUUUCAUUUUAAUGGUGUUUAUGUGCAUCACA